GACGAACGCUGGCGGCGUGCCUAAUACAUGCCAGUAGAACGCUGAAGAGAGGAGCUUGCUCUUCUUGGAUGAGUUGCGAACGGGUGAGUAACGCGUAGGUAACCUGCCUUGUAGCGGGGGAUAACUAUUGGAAACGAUAGCUAAUACCGCAUAACAAUGGAUGACACAUGUCAUUUAUUUGAAAGGGGCAAUUGCUCCACUACAAGAUGGACCUGCGUUGUAUUAGCUAUUAGGUGAGGGAAUGGCUCACCUAGGCGACGAUACAUAGCCGACCUGGGAGGGUGAUCGGCCACACUGGGACUGGGACACGGCCCAGACUCCUACGGGAGGCAGCAGUAGGGAAUCUUCGGCAAUGGGGGCAACCCUGACCGAGCAACGCCGCGUGAGUGAAGAAGGUUUUCGGAUCGUAAAGCUCUGUUGUAAGUCAAGAACGGGUGUGAGAGUGGAAAGUUCACACUGUGACGGUAGCUUACCAGAAAGGGACGGCUAACUACGUG
rnacentral:rRNA from 1 species